CAAUGAUUUUUAAGUUUAAAAGUGUUAAAUUUUUCUUUUAUUCAUUUGGUUUUUUGAAUCAGCCCGUAAAAAAUGAGUCAUUUUGAAGAGGAUCAGGAAUAGAAUCAAUGAAGAAAACAUCAUAAAAUAAAUUUGAUCUAAACACUGGUACAGUAAAUACUAAAGGUUGAUCCAUUUUCAAAGUUUUGAAAAUAUCUGCUUUGACCUAUUUAUGCAGUGGCAGUUAGAGCAAUUAUUGGUACUUCUGGUCUUUUGUCACGCAACUGAAUAAGCUUUCUAUAACUGGGCCUAAAAUCAUGCCCCC